UACGUAGGGUGCAAGCGUUGUCCGGAAUUAUUGGGCGUAAAGAGCUCGUAGGCGGUUUGUCGCGUCUGCUGUGAAAACCCGAGGCUCAACCUCGGGCCUGCAGUGGGUACGGGCAGACCAGAGUGCGGUAGGGGAGAUUGGAAUUCCUGGUGUAGCGGUGGAAUGCGCAGAUAUCAGGAGGAACACCAAUGGCGAAGGCAGAUCUCUGGGCCGUAACUGACGCUGAGGAGCAAAAGCAUGGGGAGCGAACAGG
rnacentral:rRNA from 1 species